rnacentral:tRNA from 1 species
GGAGAGGUGCCCGAGCGGCUUAAGGGGUACGCCUGGAGAGCGUAUGUAGUGAUAAAAUCGCUACCGUGGGUUCAAAUCCCACCCUCUCCG